rnacentral:lncRNA from 1 species
AAGCUGGCCACCUGGGGGAGCAGCGGCAAGCAGCUUAGGUGCCUUUCCACGAUGUGGAAGCUUUGUUCUUAGCAAUAAAUCUUGCUGCUGCUUAUUCUUUGGGUCUGCACUACCUUUAUGACUGUAACACUCACCGCGAAGGUCUGCAGCUUCACUCCUGCAGUCAGCGAGACCAGCAACCCACCGGGAGGAGCAAAGCGUGCCAGAAGUGUGCCACGUUUAAGAGCUGUAACACUCACUGCGAAAGUCUGCGGCUUCAUUCCUGAAGUCAGCAAGACCAUGAACCCACCAGGAGGAAGGAACAACUCUGCACGUGCCAUCUUUGAGAGCUGUAACAUUCACUGAGAAGGUCUGCAGCUUCACUCCUGAAGUCAGCAAGACCAAGGACCCAUCAGAAGAAAAAAACUUGGGACACAUCUGAACAUCUGAAGGAACAAACUCCCGACACACCAUCUUUAAGAACUGUAACACUCACCACGAGGGUCCGCGGCUUCAUUCUUGAAGUCAGCGAGACCAAGAACCCACGGAAGGAACCAAUUCCGGACACAAGAGAUUCUAAAGCACCAUCCUCAGAGAUGUGACUGGGAUGAUCAGAAAUACGGCCCUGAGUGUCACACUUUUUAACAAGUUUGCCAGAAGAUUCUUUGAGAAUCACCUCUUUACUAGGUGAAUGUCUUCUUCAUUUUCCCUCAAGCUCCAUGAGGUCAAGGACCAUAUCUACUUUGCUCAUCAUUGAAUUCCCAGUGCCUUCAAAGCACAGUAUUUAGCAAAUGGAAGGUACUCAACAAAUAUCUGUCAAAGGAAGGAAAGAGGAGGAAGUUACAGUCAUAUUCAAAACUAAAAACAUACACACAUAGAAGGUGAAGAAGCAAAGCAGGGAAUUAAAUAACUGCUUGAACGGUUGAAUUCACCAAGUAACAGAGCAACAGUUCCAGGAUAUGAGAAAUAAAUCUGUGUGUUCCAACGCCAUUGAAGAAGGCACUUGGAAAUAAGUGACUUUUAAAAACUAUAGAAUUUAGGGGGGAGAAGUAGAGGAGAGAUGGAAUUUCUGGUAGAGAAAACUUUGUGAAUAAAGGCAUAGAAGUAAAUGAGUGGUGAAUGAGGUGCGAAGAGCUUUUCAUCUUACUCCAAAGUAUGCAAAUAAAGAGAGCCAUCCUGCAGCUCUAGCCCCAUCCCUUAAAUCCAGACCACUCUCCUUCUCCACUACCCUGUGCCAUGCAGCCCCCGGGCAGCUGCCGUGAUGGAGCAUCCCACCCAGGCUGAGAGCCCCACGACUCCAGCGUUCUCACCGGUGCUUGGCGAGGCCCUGGUGCUUAAUGGAGGUCCCAGGCCUGGGGCAUGCCGCAAAUGGGCUUCAAAGAGAGCAUCACGGGUCUUCUCAGCACCGCGCUCACCGGAGACAGCAAAUUACAAGCUGAAAAUUCACUACGUUUGUGAAAACCCUGAAUUUAUUUAGACAAAAGCAGAUGGAUAAUCUUGUUACAUUUCAGCACACCACACUUUAUUCAGAGGAAAUGAAACAACGCAUUACGCGUUCCUUUCUUUCCAUCUGCUCUCCCUUCCCUAAGUUCAGGUUUAUUAUUAAUAAAAUGAACUUAUCCUGCCUCCCUUUCCAUUCCAUUAGCCUUUACUCCUAAUUAAGUUUUGCUCACGUUGUCCUUUUCAGUGUCUCAGCAACUCUUUUUUCAACAUAGCUAUUUUCCCCCAGACCUCAAAUCAUUUCUACAGAUGAACUGCUGCCACCAGGAAUAUAAAAUGUCUUUAUCAAAUUAUAAUUUUUCUCAAAUGUUAAGAAAUUAUCUAGGCCCUUCUGUUCCUCCAAAGCAGGUCUGACUUGAAGGACAGAUUCUGCAGAGGAUUAGAAUCAACUCUUGACUUGAAUUUUUGGGAGGAGGAGGCAGGAGUCAUCUUCCUCUGAUUCCAAGCAGCUUGACCUUGGUUAGUUCACUAUUAGCCGGAUUAUUCACUUUCCCACUGCCCUCCAUCCACCACUGGUUUGUUUAUUUCCUUUCCCAAAACAAAUGUAAUGAAUGGGUACAGAAAGUGUCUCGAGAAAAACCCACUCUAAAAUUAGCUGGGCAUGGUGGUGAGCGCCUUUAAUCCCAGCUACUCAGGAAGCUGAAGCAGGAAAAUCACUUGAACCUGGGAGGUGGUGGUUGCAGUGAGCCGAAAUCGCACCACUGCACUCCAGCCUGGGCAACAGAGCUAGACUCUGCCAAAAAAGAAAAAAAAAAAAAGAAAAAAGAAAAACCCACUCAAAAAAAAAAAAUGCCAAGGGUGGUGGUGGCUCACACCUGUAAUCCCAGGUGCGAGGCUGAGGCAGGAAGAUCGCUUGAGCCUAGGAGUUCAAGGCCAGCCUGGGCAAUAUAGUGAGACCCCCAUCUCUAGAAAUAAAUAAAUAAAUAAAAGAAACAAAUGAAAAGCCCAAGCCUCAGAGACAGUAAAGACAGAAAAUAUGAUUGUCAAAAAAGUGCUGAGAUGGAUUCAGUGAGUCAAAGACAAGUCACCAGCCCUCCCUAAACUCCAGUCCACGUUCAAACAGGUUGGAAUUUGUAGCAUUUCUGUUCAUAACCACGGCAGCUGGGAAAGCAGAUUGUGCAUGUGGCAUUGUUGUCAACUUCUCUGGCCUGAGGAGUCUGAGUGUAGCUACUGCAAUCUCUACCCCAGGCAUUUUCCAGACCCCUUGGCACUCUGGUCAUUUUCCAGACCCCAGGCAGGCAUGACUCAAUGCCACUGUCCCUCAGGCCAACAUUCCUUUAGGUCAUGUAUGUGCCUGCCUGGGAGAGGGAAUUCUUCCUGGGGUUCGAAAGAGUGUGCUCUGGAAUCUUGACUCUUGCAGUCAAAUCCCAGCUCUGCCUCCACCUACCAGGGCAGACUUGAUCCAGUGAAUUUGUGCCUCUGUUUCCUCACCUGUAAAACAGGGCUAAAGAUCCAAACCUACUUCAUGGAAUUACUGCAAAGAUUGAUGUGAGAAAGUCUGACAAGCACUCAGCACAGGGCCUGGCACAUGAGUGUGCAGAAAAUAUUGACUGUCGUUACUAAUGGCAACUGUUGAGACUCUGAUACGAUUCAGGGAAAACUUCAGGUGUCCUGAUUUGACCCCAGCUCAUGACGGCAUACUUACUUCUGCACCCUAAGAUCUAGGAAAGCCACAUACAACUCAAGCCACAGUAGCUUACACCAGAUAUUAAGGAGAUCGAAAUGUCUCUCGGGUCAGUUCCAUAGUCCACUCAACUGAGGAACCGUCAUGCUGAUGGAGGUUUUCAGGUAAAUUUGAGUAUUAUCAUGAUUCUUCUCCUGGACACCAAACAAACCACAAAGGAAGUUACUCUUGACUACCUUACUUCAACCCUCCUGGAGUUUAUUCAUGUUUUCAGUUAGAAUUUCUUUCCUGUGGCAUUGCAUUGCUAAUAACGCCAGGUGAGACUGGUGUUAAGCAUGGGUCAAGGAAGUCUGCUAUUGGUGUUUCGAAAAUCAGCAAGUAAAAUCCAUCCACUGCCCUCCACAAUGCUAGGACCCAGAUCACAGGGAAGCUGACCUGGCCUCUGGCCUUUCACUCUAAUUGACUGUGGGCUUCCCCAUGGCUGACCUCUGAAAUCACCAAGCUAUGGCAACUCGGACACUGAAGCCCUGAUUAACGAGCUUUUCUGGAGCGCUUUACCUGUUACCUGUUUUGUACCUUGAGCAAGACACCUCUCUGACCAGGUGCUGUCCUUCCUCAAAGCAGGGGUGGAGCAAGCUGCUCAGGUCAGCCCCUGAGGCUGAUACUGCACUCUCAAUGAAUGGCAGAGUCACUCCUGCCUUUUUCACAGCCUUUGAAAGGUUCUGGAAUGAACCCACAUAAACUACUGCUUGCAGAACGGAUGGGCGAGUUCUUUACGACUCUGCUCCUGGGCUCUUAGUAAGCACACAUUUUCCCAAACUUAAAUCUUCUAAAUUGGAGUUGCCACCUUUAAAGGGUAAGCUGACCCAAUGUCCUUGCUGGUCAAAGAAAUUUUUUGCAAAUGCAGAAAAAUACUUAACACUUUCCUUUUCAGACACAGGAUGAAAGAGGGCACAAAUAGGUCAGAAUAUUGGCUUAAAUCAAAUUGUGGGAGCCGUUUGAAUUUACUUUUAUAGAUAGAAAAACUGGAAAACGUCAGUCCCUCCUACUUCCUCCUUCUGCCUAUGUCUCUCACUCAGCCAUUACAUGGAUGUGCUCUGGGGCCUCAGAAUCUUCCAGGCAGACUGCCCUCCCCACUAAGCAGGCAUGAUCUGGACACACUGAAGCAGAAAGGCAUGCCCCUUCAUAAAAGUCUGCCCCCAGUGCAGUGAUUAAGGCAGGACAAAAUGUCACCGCAGUGUUCCACCAGCACCUAUGCCUCUCUGUCCCUAGGCUGUGCACCCACCCAGGCCAGCCGCAUCACUUAGGUAACAGCAAAUGUGAGCAUCGCUGGUUGCUGUGGGAGGUAGAAAGACAGUGAAAGAAUACCUCUGACCUGGAAGACUGUGCUGUCUUGGAGGGAUCCAGGGUAUAGUCCUAGAGAAACAACUUUAGGGCACUAAAGGCAAAUAACAUAAAAUCUAGGGCUCUGGAGCCAGAGUCCCUGAGUUCAAAUCCUGUCUGCAUAAUUGUAUGAGCUUAGAGAAACUGCAUUCCUUCCCUGUCCCUAAAACCUCAUAGGGUAGUUAUAAGGAAAAUUCUGAAUAUGAAAAGUAUUCAGUACAGUCUUGAUUUUUAAAACUCUUAUUGAAAAACUCAACCAUCUCACAUUACUGCCUGCCAACAGCUUUCGCUCCCAGAAGGAAGAAGACCCAACCUCCCUUCAUAGGACUGCACAACCUCCCCCUGCCACCUCUGUGGUCUUAGUUCCCCAACUCUCACCCUUGCUCACUCAGCCUCAGUCACGCUGGACUUCUUCUGCUCAAACACACAGGCCUUCCUCCCACGGCAGCACCACCACUCUGUCGGCAUCUCCAUCCUGAGUGCUCUCAUCGCCUCCCCAAGCCCCUCACCACUACCGCUCUUCUCUCGGCUUAUUCCCUAACUCUAUUCAAUGCCGUCUUUUCCGUGACCACUUUUUCUAGAAUAAGAAUGUACCUUGCUUGCUGGUUUGGACGUGGAGAAAGGGAAACCCUUGUCCACUGUUGGUGGGAAUGUAAAUCAAUAUAGCCACUACAGGAAACAGUGUGGAGAUUUCUAAAAAAAAAAAAAGCUAAAAACAGAACUACCAUACAAUCCUACAGUCCUACCACUGUGUAUCUAUCCAAAGGAAAAAGAAUUCAGCGUAUUAAAGGGAUACCUGCACUCACUUAUUUAUUUACUUUUUACUUUUUAUUGAUUUAAUUAUACUUUAAGUUCUAGGGUACAUGUGCACAACGUGCAGGUUUGAUACAUAGGUAUACAUGUGCCAUGUUGGUUUGCUGCACCCAUCAACUCAUAAUUUACAUUAGGUAUUUCUUCUAAUGCCAUCCCUCCCCCAACACCCACCCCCUAGCAGGCACCAGUGUGUGAUGUUCCCCGUCCUGUGUCUAAGUGAUCUCAUUGUUCAGUUCCCACCUAUGAGUAAGAACAUGCAGUGUUCGGUUUUCUGUCCUUGCGAUAGUUUGCUCAGAAUGAUGGUUUCCAGCUUCAUCCAUGUCCCUACAAAGAACAUGAACUCAUCUGUUUUUAUGGCUGCAUAGUAUUCCAUGGUGUAUAUGUG